rnacentral:rRNA from 1 species
GACGAACGCUGGCGGCGUGCCUAAUACAUGCAAGUCGAGCGCAGGAAACUGACGGAACUCUUCGGAGGGAAGGCAGCGGAAUGAGCGGCGGACGGGUGAGUAACACGUAAGGAACCUGCCUCAAGGAUUGGGAUAACUCCGAGAAAUCGGAGCUAAUACCGGAUAGUUCAUCGGACCGCAUGGUCCGUUGAUGAAAGGCGCUCCGGCGUCACCUUGAGAUGUCCUUGCGGUGCAUUAGCUAGUUGGUGGGGUAACGGCCCACCAAGGCGACGAGGCAUAGCCGGCCUGAGAGGGUGAUCGGCCACACUGGGACUGAGACACGGCCCAGACUCCUACGGGAGGCAGCAGUAGGGAAUCUUCCACAAUGGACGAAAGUCUGAUGGAGCAACGCCGCGUGAGUGAUGAAGGUUUUCGGAUCGUAAAGCUCUGUUGUAAGGGAAGAACACGUACGAGAGGAAAUGCUCGUACCUUGACGGUACCUUACGAGAAAGCCACGGCUAACUACGUGCCAGCCGCCGCCGUAACAC